rnacentral:rRNA from 1 species
UUCUCGAAUUUAAAAGAGCUAUUUAUUUUGUUGUAAUAAACACUUAAAAUAUGUGGUGAGAUGUAAAUAUAUCUAGUUUUUUAAGAAAAUUUAAUUUGUUUAUAUUUUAAGGGAUGAGCUUUAAAUAGAAUUAGAAGUUUUGUUAUAUUUGUUCUAUUAAAAUGUAAUUUUUAAUUUUUUUGGUAAUUAUGAUUAGAUUAGUAAAAGGUUAGUUAAAGGAACUCGGCAAAUAUUUUUCACCUGUUUAUUAAAAACAUGGCCUGUUGAUUAUUAUUUCAGGUCUCGCCUGCCCACUGAGGCUGCGGUAUCUUGACCGUGCAAAGGUAGCAUAAUAAUUAGUUUCUUAAUUAGAAGCUUGUAUGAACGGUAGGAUGAGAAAAUCUCUGUCUCUAGCUAAUUGAAUUUUAUCUUUAAGUAAAAAAGCUUAAAUUUUAUUAAAAGACGAGAAGACCCUGUAGAAUUUUAUUUUGGUUGGGGAGAUCGAAAAAUUAAGUUAACUUUUGAUUAUAAGAUAAAAUUACCUCAGGGAUAACAGCGUAAUCUUCUUUAGAGUUCUAAUCGAAAAGAGGGUUUGCGACCUCGAUGUUGGAUUAAAGUUAAGCUUGGUGUAGGGGCU